rnacentral:rRNA from 1 species
CCCUUGAGUCCAGGAUAACCUACCGAAAGGUGGGCUAAUACCGGAUAUGACCACGGGGACUACGGUCCCUGAGGUGAAAGGUGGCCUCUGUUUACAUGCUACCGCUCAUCGAUGGGCCUGCGCGCCAUUAGCUAGUUGGUGGGGUAAUGGCCCACCAAGGCGAUGAUGGCUAGCUGGUCUGAGAGGAUGGCCAGCCACACUGGGACUGAAACACGGCCCAG